rnacentral:rRNA from 1 species
UACGAAGGGGGCUAGCGUUGUUCGGAAUUACUGGGCGUAAAGCGCACGUAGGCGGAUAUUUAAGUCAGGGGUGAAAUCCCGGGGCUCAACCUCGGAACUGCCUUUGAUACUGGGUAUCUUGAGUAUGGAAGAGGUAAGUGGAAUUGCGAGUGUAGAGGUGAAAUUCGUAGAUAUUCGCAGGAACACCAGUGGCGAAGGCGGCUUACUGGUCCAUUACUGACGCUGAGGUGCGAAAGCGUGGGGAGCAAACAGG